AACUCCCCUUCUCUUUUUAUUUUGUUUCUUUCUCUCUCUCUCUCUACAACCCUAGGUGUUGGUUAUGUGAAGAAGAAAGUGGGGAAGUGCAGUUUUUGAUGAUUAGAGCUGAGAAGAAGAAGUUUGAGCAGGAAAAUUGGUUUGUAAAGCAUCAACUAGAGGAAGGUUCGGCGUGCUCGGAAGCUUAAAUUGAUAUUUCGACAGACCUACGACGUGCUAAUUAAGAAACGCUUCGUUCUAGCUUCGUUUGCAUCGAGCCGCGAGAGCUAGUUGUUUAUACAUCCCAAGACGUUAGUUCUAGUCUUUCGGCAUCCCUACGAGAUCCCAGCGCGAGCGGAGCGGCCGAGGAUUGUGGCAAGAGCCCGGCAUCUUAGCUAGUGGACUCCAGAGUAUAGUUAUAUACCCAUUUUGGUUUCAUGUUGAAUCUAUUUGAUGUUAAAGAAACAUGUAAAAGGAUGUAUAGAUAAGCAUGUAAAUGAUGUAAAUAGCUAAAUGUUAUAGUUAUUCAGCUUUACAGUUUGGAUUAAA